rnacentral:rRNA from 1 species
UACGUAGGGUGCGAGCGUUGUCCGGAAUUACUGGGCGUAAAGAGCUCGUAGGUGGUUUGUCGCGUUGUCCGUGAAAACUCACAACUCAAUUGUGGGCGUGCGGGCGAUACGGGCAGACUGGAGUACUGCAGGGGAGACUGGAAUUCCUGGUGUAGCGGUGGAAUGCGCAGAUAUCGGGAGGAACACCGGUGGCGAAGGCGGUUCUCUGGGCCUUACCUGACGCUGAGGAGCGAAAGCGUGGGGAGCGAACAGG